rnacentral:rRNA from 1 species
GAUUAACGCUAGCGGCAGGCAUAAUACAUGCAAGUUGAACGGCAGCACAGGUAGCAAUACUGGGUGGCGAGUGGCGCACGGGUGCGUAACACGUAUGCAACCUACCCUAUACAGGCGAAUAACCUUUAGAAAUGAGGGCUAAUACGCCGUAGUAUUACAGAUGGGCAUCUAUUUGUAAUUAAAGAUUUAUCGGUAUAGGAUGGGCAUGCGUCCCAUUAGUUAGUUGGUAAGGUAACGGCUUACCAAGACGAUGAUGGGUAGGGGAUCUGAGAGGACUUACCCCCACACUGGUACUGAGACACGGACCAGACUCCUACGGGAGGCAGCAGUAAGGAAUAUUGGGCAAUGGCCGCGAGGCUGACCCAGCCAUGCCGCGUGCAGGAAGACGGCCUUAUGGGUUGUAAACGGCUUUUAUACGGGAAUAAUAGAGUGUACGCGUACAUUUAUGCAAGUAUCGUAUGAAUAAGCAUCGGCUAACUCCGUG